CCAGAACAGAAGCUUUCCAGGACAGUGCAGAAACGGAGUGAGGAGUGAAAAUAGAGGCUGUAUAGUGAAAAGCAGCCAUCAUACUGGCCGUUCCGUGUACAAAAAGAAACAUCAGCUGAACAGGAUUCCAACCUGCAGAGUCUCCUAUGUUUUCUUUAUCAAGCAACUUCAUUUACAAGGUUGUGUGCAUUUCUCUUACCUGGGAGUCCGACACCUCUGAGGGUUUCUCUGUUAGGCUGCCACUCUCUGUGGGUAUAAGGUCAUUG